UGGGACGCACCUAAGGGUUUAUAGCUUGAGCGGGAUUUAAUUAGGGAUGAGUCCUGGGAGCCGGAGGAACCACAUGGAGCGUUCAGGGAACUACGUCUGGUUUGGUCUGGCUGGUACACGAGGCACGGAGGCUGAGGAAUGUGACCUUUAACCAGUCAGUCUGGAAUUUCCUGGUCAACACUAAUAAGGAAAUCUGCCUGAUAGACCUCCACUGUCCCCCAAGGAAACCACAAAGGGAAGAAGGAGAAGAUGGCUGAGACCUGUGGUCAGGACCAGUUUAAACUGGUUGAAGGCAACAUGGUGGUCCAACUUAAUCUGACAUACACCCUGCAGCUCAUUAUAUGUUCAUCGUAAUAUAUUACCAUACUAAAUAACACACCUACUGUGGCCGUGACAGGAAACACCAGACCAAAUAAGGAAAGAAAAGAGGUGGUACCCUAUUUCCCAGACAGGCCUGCCCCUUUCUCUGAAUAACUAUGAAUAUUCCUCCCCUUCACUGCCUUGACCCCUUAUAACAAUAGCUUAAUUGCCCCAAGAGCUGAGAAAUUGAUUUGUGAACUUAGCUUCUGCUUCUCCAUUCUUUGGCCAUUGAAUAAAGCUUGUGCUGUUGAACGCUCAGCUUUGGUUUUGUUUCAAAUCCAUGACACGGAACAGGAAAGAACCCUCUUGGGGAAGGGAUGGAUUGUGGGUAUGAGGCCCACCCGUGGACCCCUUCUCUGAGCUCCGAGUGUGGGUUGGAGUCCCA